rnacentral:rRNA from 1 species
GACAGAGGGGGCAAGCGUUGCUCGGAAUUACUGGGCGUAAAGCGCGCGUAGGCGGCUUUGUAAGUUAGAGGUGAAAGCCCGGAGCUCAACUCCGGAAUUGCCUUUAAGACUGCAUCGCUAGAAUCAUGGAGAGGUGAGUGGAAUUCCGAGUGUAGAGGUGAAAUUCGUAGAUAUUCGGAAGAACACCAGUGGCGAAGGCGACUCACUGGACAUGUAUUGACGCUGAGGUGCGAAAGCGUGGGGAGCAAACAGG